GUCUACUGCAUGCUACCCUGAACAAACCGGAUUUCAUCUGAUCUCAGAAGCUAAGUAGGGUUGGGCCUGGCUAGUACUCAGAUGAGAGACCACCUAGGAAGACCAGGUGCUGUAGGCA
rnacentral:rRNA from 1 species